CUGGAGUGGAGGAGCGCUAACAAGAGCGACUGGAGUUUCUAAGCAAACCUGUAGCACCUGAAGCCAACUUUAGCCUAGAUAUUCUAACUUCAAAUUCUGCCAUUUUGAGGAGACCUUCAAGAUGGCUGAGGACUAAGACAUGGAGAUCACCUUCCUCUCAACAAAUACAUUAGAAAUACAUCUAUAUGUGGAACAACUCCUACAGGAUACCUACUGAAUGCAGGCAGAAGACUUCAGACUUCCCAAAAGGCAAGAAACUCCCCACGUACCUGGAUAGGGCAAAAGAAAAAAGAGAAAACAGAGACAAAAGAAUAGGGACGGGACCUGCACCUCGGGGAGGGAGCUGUGAAGGAGGAAAGAUUUCCACACACUAGGAAGCCCCUUCACUUUGGGGGUUGGGAAGGAGGGAAGCUUCGGAGCCAUGGAGAAGAACACAGCAAUAGGGGUGCAGAGGGCAAAGUGGAGAGAUUCCUGCACAGAGGAUCCGUGCCGACCAGCACUCACCAGACUGAGAGGCUUGCCUGCUCCCCUGCCAGGACGGGUGGGGGCUGGGAGCUGAGUCUCCAGCUUCGGAGGUCGGAUCCCAGGGAGCGGACUGGGGAUGGCUGCGUGAACACAGCCUGAGGGAGGCUAGUGUGCCACAGCUAGCCGCGAGACAGUCCGGGGAAAAAUCUGGAACUGCCUAAGAGGCAAGAGACCAUUGAUUCGGGAUGCACAAGGAGAGGGGAUUCACAGCAUCACCUAAACGAGCUCCAGAGAUGGGCGUGAGCUGUGGCUAUCAGCACGGAUGCCAGAGACGGGCAUGAGGCGCUAAGGCUGCUGCUGCAGCCACCAAGAAGGCUGUGUGAAAGCACAGGUCACUAUCCACACCUCCCCUCACAGGAGCCUGUGCAGCCUGCCACUGCCAGGGUCCCGUGAUCCAGGGACAGCUUCCCCGGGAAAACGCACAGCGCACCUGAGGCUGUUGAAACGUCACUCUGGCCUCUGCCACUGCAGGCUCUCCCUGCAUUCUGUACCCCUCAUUCUCCCCCUGGCCUGAGUGAGCCAGAGCCCCCUAAUCAGCUGCUACUUUAACCCUGUCCUGUCUGAGCGAAGAACAGACACCCUCAAGUGACCUACACACAGAGGCAGGGCCAAAUCCAAAGCUGAACUUCAGGAGCUGUGUGAAAAAAGAAGAGAAAGGGAAAUUUUUUCUAGCAGCCUCAGGAGCAGCGGAUUAAAUCUCCACAAUCAACUUGAUGUACACUGCACCUGUGGAAUACCUGAACAGACAAUGUAUCAUUCCAAAAUUGAGACGGUGGACUUUGUGUGAUUUUGUCUGUAUAGCUUUGCUUUUACCAUUUGUCCUAGAGUUCUGUCUGUCAAUUUUUUUUUAAGUAUAGUUUUUAGCCCUUGU